rnacentral:rRNA from 1 species
UACGGAGGGGGCUAGCGUUGUUCGGAUUCACUGGGCGUAAAGGGUGCGUAGGUGGCAAGGUAAGUUUGAUGUGAAAUCUCCGGGCUUAACCCGGAAACUGCAUUGGAUACUAUCCGGCUCGAGGAAUGGAGGGGAGACUGGAAUACUUGGUGUAGCAAGUGAAAUGCGUAGAUAUCAAGUGGAACACCAGUGGCGAAGGCGAGUCUCUGGACAUUUCCUGACGCUGAGGCACGAAAGCCAGGGGAGCAAACGGG